rnacentral:tRNA from 1 species
GGUAGCUCAAUUGGUAGAGUGCUUGCCUUGCAUGCAUAAGGCCCUGGGUUCAACUCCCACACCA